rnacentral:rRNA from 1 species
UACGAAGGGGACUAGCGUUGUUCGGAAUUACUGGGCGUAAAGCGUGCGCAGGCGGUUUUGUAAGCCAGAUGUGAAAGCCCCGGGCUCAACCUGGGAAUGGCAUUUGGGACUGCAAGGCUGGAGUUUGGCAGAGGAGACUGGAAUUCCUGGUGUAGCAGUGAAAUGCGUAGAUAUCAGGAGGAACACCGAUGGCGAAGGCAGGUCUCUGGGCUGAAACUGACGCUCAAGCACGAAAGCGUGGGGAGCAAACAGG